rnacentral:rRNA from 1 species
CCUACGGGAGGCUGCAGUGGGGAAUAUUGCGCAAUGGGCGAAAGCCUGACCCAGCGACGCCGCGUGAGGGAUGAAGGUCUUCGGAUCGUAAACCUCUGUCAGCAGGGAAGAACGGUCACUGUGCUAAUCAGCAGUGAAUUGACGGUACCUGCAAAGGAAGCACCGGCUCACUCCGGGCCAGCAGCCGCGGUAAUACGGAGGGUGCGUGCGUUAAUCGGAAUUACUGGGCGUAAAGCGCUCGUAGGCGGUAUGUCAAGUCAAGGGUGAAAUCCCCGCGCUCAACGUGGGAACUGACUUUGAAACUGGCAAACUGGAGUGUGUGAGAGGAUAGUGGAAUGCCAGGUGUAGGAGUGAAAUCCGUAGAUAUCUGGAGGAACAUCAGUGGUGAAGGCGACUAUCUGGCACAUAACUGACGCUGAGGAGCGAAAGCGUGGGUAGCAAACAGGAUUAGAUACCCGUGUAGUC